GUGAUGUAUUGGCUGAUUGGUAGGAGUUAGGAGUUAGAGGUUAAGUUCUAUGAGAUAAAGCCCCUUCACUUGGGGAGUGUGACCAACUGUGAGCUGAGGAGUAAAGUCAGAAAGGAGCAGGCACAGGCCCUCUACCAAGGAGCAAGAAGCAGAAUUAAAGUCCGUGUUCUUAGCCAAGAGCUCACAACUGCCAGAUGCAUACAGAAUCCAAGAGAACCUACUGAGAAUGACCAUUAGGUCCUUAGGUCCAUUAGGUCAUAAUGACCAUUAGCACCUUAGGUUCUGUGGUUUGCAAGCUGCAAAGGUAGGGUUUGAUACUUGGGUUGAUGUUCUAGAAGAGCGCUGACCCAUGGAAGUUGGAAUGAAUAUCUAGCCCCCCAGUGAUGGAGAAGAUGUUGGCCUGGGGUUAUCUGACCAGUGACAAGGCAGCUCUACACUGCAGGCUGUCACCGGAGAGCUUGCUGAAAGGGUCUGGUGUAGGAAGCGAAUGCUUAGGUUCGGAUGCAUCCAAGCACUGCCUGUGUUCCCCGGGCCGACCUCAAGGACCCCAACAAAACACUGUGUUCCAGGGGAUAACAAGCCAGUAGCAGCAAUAAACAUACUUUACAGACCUCCUGGGUAAACAGCAUUCUGCAGAGACCCACCCUGGGUUAUGACAGGAGCCAAGAGCUCCAAGGAGG